rnacentral:rRNA from 1 species
UACAGAGGUCUCAAGCGUUGUUCGGAUUCAUUGGGCGUAAAGGGUGCGUAGGUGGCGAGGCAAGUCGGAUGUGAAAUCCCGGGGCUCAACCCCGGAACUGCAUUCGAUACUGCUUUGCUGGAGUACGGAAGAGGAGGGCGGAAUUCCCGGUGUAGCGGUGAAAUGCGUAGAUAUCGAGAGGAACACCGGUGGCGAAGGCGGCCUUCUGGACAGUGACUGACGCUGAGACGCGAAAGCGUGGGGAGCAAACAGG